UGGUACAUUCGUAAGAUAUGUUCUUAUGUUUCAGGACACUAACCUUUCGAUAUGUAUGGCCCUCGAUGAUUAAAGAAUUGACUCUUCGGCUCGUUUCAGUGUGUUAUAUGUCCAUCAUGUUACAACGAAGUUCCAGAACAAUAUGAAUCAAAAUAAACUUAAACAUAAAUGAACAACAAUUAUAACCAGAUUUUAUCAAUGGUAUAGUACAGUACAUGUACAAGUAUUAACUUACCUGUAAAUCUAAUUAGGAGCAAAUAUAAAAUCGGCGCAAAUGAAAAAAUGAAAUCGGCGCAAAUGAAAGAAUGAAAAUUUUCAAAAUCGGCGCAAAUGUCAUACGC
rnacentral:lncRNA from 1 species